CACCACUCCAAAUCUUAGGCGAAAAUAACGGAAACUGAUCCAAGAUCAGUCCUGUACAGGCAACUUCAACACAAUGUAAUGCGGAGCGCGUUCCUGCUCGUCAACACAAUCGGCUGCAGGGGAGGUUACUUUCUGCGUUCGGUUUAUUUGUGAAUAUAAAAUUAAAUUAAUCUAAAUAGCGUAUAUUCUUAUUCUGUGCAGAAUCUGUGUAUUUUGACCUACAACCCAUGCGCAUCAUGACUUCAACAAAGGAAACUUGGAAUGUACCGGAUCCUCCUAUGCGAUCAUCCUCUUUCCCGGUGAGUGAAGUAUGCAAUAAAACAAUGUGGUUGUAAUCGCUAGUAUGCAAUGCUAUGGAGAUUGAUUUAUAGCUUUUUAGACACUUCUCAAACCAGUAUGCAUUUUCACUGAUCUGUCAAGGUUUUCAAUUAAAAUCUUAGCCUACUCAACAGUUUCAACUAGCUUGAGCUAGGCUAAAGUCUAUGGAGUUUCAUGGUGGGCGCAGGGUUUUGUUCUGGGCAACAUCUACACACCUGAUUAAACUAGUUUGAGUGGUUAAUUACUUUAAUCCACAUGUGUCAAACUCCUACCAUGGGAGGUCCGAGUGUCUGCAGAUUUUUGCUCCACCAUGAUUGGUAAAUGAAGGUCACAAAUUACUAAGGAACUCCCCUCACCUGGUUAGGUUGUCUUGGUGUUAAUUGAAAUGAAAAACCAAAAACCUGCAGACACUCGGCCCUCUAUGGAACGAGUUUGACACCCCUGCCUAAUAGAGCUAGUUCAGCUUGUCUCUGCAAAGCCUUUCUAAAGACAGUUUUUAGAUCUUGUGGAGCAAACAAUGGAUGAAUUGGGACAACAAUCCUCCCAUCCACAGUGAAUUAUGUUUAUAUUCAAUGGUCAUCUUAUUAUCCAUCAUUCACAUUUUUUACACCACCUGUAGUUUGUAUGAUGUAAAAUAAUUAACCAAAUCCCACUGGCACAGGUACUGUUUCAUCUGUCAACUAACACUCAUUGCGCUAUGCACCUGAGGCUAUGGCAUGGCAGGUAGCAUAUAUCUAGGUUACAAUAGUAGUCAACAGUUAGUAUGACACAUUAUGUUAGUGUAGCAUGUGUGGUAAUGUUAAAGCCUCGGACUUAGUUUUAGUACCAGGUGAGGUCCAUUAUCAGAUUUGACCCAUAUGAUUGAGUCAUUGAAACCCAUGUCACCUUCAAACACACACACAGCACUUUGAUUAGUUUGAGAAAGGUCAGGGCUUGACGUUUAUCGUGAACUCAACGUCACGGCCUUAGUUGGCCAAACUCUCUUUAUUAAUUGCUGUUAGUAUGGUUUUUAUCUCUAGUUCUCCUUGUCAAUUCAAGCCCCAUGCCAGAGUGGACCUCCCUGGUGCAUUCCAUCAGUCAAAGUUAUGUGUAUAGGGCUAUUUUUUUUGUGACACUUUCGUAUCCACCUUUCAUGCACAAUGUCUCCUGGCUCCAAUCCGUAAGUUGUGUCCUAGUUGUAAAACAUCAAUAGGAGUAACAUCAAAGAAGUGUAAGUUCUGUGGUGUAAAAACACAGCUAAAUGUCAAGUUAAAGGCCCAAAAAAUGAAGGCUACAGACGAAUGGGCAAAUAAGACCAUGGAAGAUAUGCAACCCUGGUUAAUGCAGCAAACACGCUGGUAAGCUUUAUGUUUUCCUCCAAAAAUAUUUCUGCAUUUCUAGCUUAGGUAGUAAAUGAAAGGCCCUAUGCACUUAUUUGUUGAUGUCCCAUUGUGUCAUUUAAGACUGUACAUCUAAAUGUAAUCAUUUGAUUGAUAUUUGUUGUGUUUCUGGAAGUUAUUGUCAUUAAUAAUUCUAGGUACAUAUGUUCCACAAGUUAUGAGUGUACCCCCUGCUACUCUUCAGCAAGAGGAAGAAGGAUAACAUUUUGUUGUCAACUGCACUGUGUCCUCACAGUGGUAUGAUGAAUCAGACCACAAUGGCAGCAAUCCAAAGGUUGUAUGAGGCAAUUAUGAAAGUGGCAAUCAACACCCAUGCCCCCAAACUACAACCCUCCUGCUGCCCAAGAACUGUCUGAUACAAUUGCCCCCCAGGAGACCAGCUACACCCUCAACCAGGUUGAACCCCCAAUAAUCCCCACCACCCAGGAGACCAGCUACACCCAAACCGAAGAAGACGGGGAGAAAGAUGAGGAGAAAGUCCUGUCCUGUCACCCUCAAAAAACCCUCCAACCCGUUGAGCAUGACAAAGUCAACCCCCUGCCUAGAAGUCCAGUAUUCCAGAUUCGCCUCUUCACUGUUGACGUUGAGACUGGUGUUUUGCAGGUACUAUUUAACGAAGCUGCCAGUUGAGGACUUGAGGAGUCUGUUUCUCAAACUAGACACUCUUAUGUACUUGUCCUCUUGCUCAGUUGUGCACUGGGGCCUCCCACUCCUCUUUCUAUUCUGGUUAGAGACAGUUUUUGCUGUUCUGUGAAGGGAGUAGGACACAGCAUUGUACUAGAUCUUCAGUCGCUUGGCAAUUUCUCCAUGGAAUAUUCAUUUCUCAGAACCAGAAUAGACUGACGAGUUUCAGAAGAAAUGUCUUUGUUUCUGACCAUUUUGAGCCUGUAAUCGAACCCACAAAUGCUGAUGCUCCAGAUACUGGUCUAAAGAAGGCCAGUUUUAUUGCUUCUUUAAUUAGCUCAACAGUUUUCAGCUGUGCUAACAAUUGCAUUAACAAUGUCUACACUGUAUUUCUGAUCAAUUUGAUGUUAUUUUAAUGGACCAAAAAGGAGCUUUUCUUUCAAAAACAAGGACAUUUCUAAGUGACCCUAAACCUUUGAACUGUAGUGUAUAUACAAACAUUAUAUUAAGCAGGACAUUCUUACCAACAUUAAAAUCCUAUUAUAAUCCAAAAGUAGUGUGAAAUGCACUCAUAAGCAACGUAAAUAAGCAAUGUAAAUAAAGGCUAUUCUGGCUGGCUUUCUAUAAGAACUCCCCUUUGUUCUGCCACCAACUUGUGUGCUUUGCCCUCAUGAGUAAGCAAUGUUUUCAAACACAGAAAGGGAUCUAUAGCGGUGAAAAUACUUGAAACCCUUGUAAGUGAACAGCUAAAAUAGUAAAUAAAAACUAACUCUAUUUGAUCAAUGUACCAAUCGGGCUUCAGGAAGAAGCAUAGCACAAUUACAGCAGCCAUGAAGGUUUUAAAUGAUAUCACUGAAACCGUUGACAAAACAGCACUGUGUCUCACUUUUUAUUGAUCUCUCGAAGGCUUUUGAUACAGUUGAUCAUGCUAUACUAUGGCAGAGAUCGUCGAGUGUAGGUCUUUCGGAGCAUGCAGUUGCAUGGUUUGCUAACUGUCUGUCUGAUAGAACUCAGUGCACUCAAUUUGACGGGCUUAUGUCUGUUAAAUUGUCUGUCUUAAAUUGUGUGCCCCAAGGCUCUGUACUUGGUCCUCUCUUAUUCACUAUUUAUAUAAAUGAUUUAGACAAAUGUCAAAUGCACAACUUCAUUUUUAUGCUGAUGAUGCUGUUAUUUACUGUUGUGCCUCGUCUCUUACAAAAGCUUUCCAGAACUUGCAAACUGCUUUUUAUACUGUUCAACAUACCUUGUGUCAAUACCUACAAAACUAAACUAAUGGGUGUUUUCUAAUGCAAGAAAUAGACCUCUGAACCUUUCACCUAUUACUACCUGUCAGGGCAAGGAGAUUGAGGUUGUAACCUCAAAUAUAUUGGAAUUUUAAUUAAUGACUGCCUCUUUUUUAAAUUGCAUAUUCAACAACUUACAAAAAAAAAUUAAGCUGAAAUUGGGAUUUUAUUUUAGGAAUAAUGCCUGUUUUUCUUUUGAAACCAGAAGGAGGCUAGUAUUCGCUACAUUUAUGCCUUUACUAGACUAUGGGGAUAUUUUAUAUAUGAAUGCUUCCGCUCAGUGUUUGAGAUCAAUUGACACUCUUUACCAUGGCACUGAGAUUUAUUUUAAACUGCAAAACCCUUACGCACCACUGCACUUUGUAUACCAGAGUUGGCUGGCCUUCUCUAGUCACUCGUAGGCUCAGUCACUGGUAUACUUUUAUUUACAAAGCCAUUUUUGGGUUUACUACUUUUAUUUGUUCAGAAAUGUGGUGGGUACUCUCUUCGUUCACUGGACUUUAUCCUGCUAACUGUUCCAAAUGUCCGAACUGAAUUUGGUAAAAGGGCUUUUAUGUACUCUGCGCCAUCGAUCUUGAGGCUGAUUCCCUGACCUGUCAAUUUUUUAUUUGCUGUUUUUGAUUUUGUUUUACUCUUGUAAAUGCAAUGGUUUUUACUAGUUUACUUGUAGUUUUUCAUGUUGUCUGUCUGUCAUUUUUGUAAUGACUUGGUGCUGCCUAUCUUGGCCAGGACGCUCUUGAAAAUGAGAUUUUAAAUCUCAAUGAGCCCUUCCUGGUUAAAUAAAGGUUAAAUAAAUAAAAUAGCCAAUUAUAUUUCCACCAAUAUUGUUUGUCUUCUUUUUGAAGGCCAUUAAUUCUAAGAG
ensembl:lncRNA